AUUCACCAGGCCUGCCGUAACCGCUGCUUCGGUAUGUUCCCCAAGAAAGUUGCCACAGUCAAGAUCCAACCCUGUUACAAAGAAAGAAACAUACCCAUUCAAUUUCCACUGGCCGCGGAUAACCCCAGCAAGGAGGUCUGGAUCAGCACAAGUUGGCUUGCCAUUAACUUGAUUGUAAGAACACAUGACACUGGCCACAUUGCCAUCGAUCACACAGCUCUUGAACGGUGGCUGAAAUGUGUCCUCCAAAUCUUGCGGGGACACCUUCAAUCAAAAGACAAAGACAACCUUCAGUUAUCCAAAUCAUAGGCAGUGUAGUGUUUGCAGCAGGCGGCGACUUUAAGGUGGUCGGGAUUGCCAUCCUCCCGCUGCUGCAGGCCUCGGACAUAGCUGACAGCAUACUUGCUGGAGAGCAAAGGGUCCUCCCCAGGAGUCUCUUGGCCUCUGCCCCAUCUGGGGUCUCUGAAAAUGUUAACAUUGGGCGACCAAAAGGUUAAAAACAGAUUGUUUUGGCUUGAUUAAAGCAUUUCUGCUACCCACAUUGUCCAGAAGCAGAGUUAGAGAGACAGAGAGAAACAGAGGAGCAUUGCUUGUAUUACCUUU